UACAGAGGGUGCGAGCGUUGUCCGGAAUCACUGGGCGUAAAGCGCGCGUAGGCGGCUUUGUAAGUUAGAGGUGAAAGCCCGGGGCUCAACCCCGGAACUGCCUUUAAGACUGCAUCGCUUGAAUCCGGGAGAGGUGAGUGGAAUUCCGAGUGUAGAGGUGAAAUUCGUAGAUAUUCGGAAGAACACCAGUGGCGAAGGCGGCUCACUGGACCGGUAUUGACGCUGAGGUGCGAAAGCGUGGGGAGCAAACAGG
rnacentral:rRNA from 1 species